ACUACCGCUGCCAGGAGCAGCAGCCGCUGCCGGGGGGGACUGGCCGCCGCCCGUCUCGCUUCCCAGUUUCCAGCUCUGCCAUCGCCGCCAACCCGCGCAGGGUUGGAGUGCGGGCGAGCGCCAGCGAGCUGCCGCGCUGCCUCAGCAAGUUCCUGUGUCGCCGCCUGCAACAGCUGCCAAUGGCGGCCGCUGCCCAGCGGGGGCUGCUCGCCGCCUGCCUCGUCGACCUGCAGUUUUCAGCCUCUCCGCCGCCGCGGAAUGCGAACCGGCACGCGGCCCCCUGCCUCUCUGAGUCGCCCGUCCCCGACAAGCGCCCAGCCCGUAGAACUCGUUCUCCGAUCGGAAGAGCUGCCUGACCGCCUCCCUCAGCGAUUCCGAGCCGCCCAGCCUGGAGGACUCAGACUGCAGCCAGCCGCCUGUCCAUCUCCGACAAUUGAGGGGGGAUGGGGAACCAGCCGUGGGGGGUCUCACGUCGACCCUGCACGAAUGUUUAAGUUUUGUCUCCUCAAAACCAGAAUACUGGCCUGAAUAAGGAAUGGUGAGCCACUUAAGUAAAAAUGGAAAGAACUGUUAUCUUGAUUCCUGUGAUAUCUGCAAAUGAGAACUCCUAAAAAUGAAGCCAAACGAAGAACCAUACUGAACAGUGAAGUCAAAGAAAGCAACAACAAGAAUCAGAGACUGUAAAAUAAAAUCACUAAAUGCCUUGCCUUCUGUUUGCAGUAUAGAGUCUUCUAUAUUGUCUUUGUUUGUCUUUGUUUUCUAAUUGUUUCAGCACGUGAAAAGAUUCCCUGAUAAUUUGUAUGAGGACUCAUACAAGAUUUCAUGUGAAUCGAAUCUGGUUAUACUAAGAAAACUCACGGUAUCUUUUUUUUUAAAAACAUCAAUAAGUUGCCAUUUUAAAUAUGUAUUUGCCUCAUUAUUCUCACUUUGACACUCACCAUACACCACUGACAGACUGCAGAGAUACAAAAGGACUAGGAAGUUGCAAACAAGACGUCAUAGGUGUGACUACUAUAGAAAGCACAUUUGUUUCACCAGUGCUUAUGUUGCAUCUAGUCCUUGAAAUCAAAAACAUAGAUGCCUGAUUUUUAUGACCUUUGUUAUGUCUCUCUAUGUCCCUACCACAAUGUAGGUAUGAUCACCUGUGCUUGUGUUGAAAGCCAGUCUGUUUUCUUCACUUUCAGAUUUCUGAACCUUAAUUUUAGGGGGUUUAAUUUUGAUCGCCUAAUUUGGCUUGAGAAAUACAUGGAUGUCAGUAAUAGGAACUGUAAAGGUGACAAGCUAUUUCAUACAGAUUUGAUUUGAAGUGUUUUCUGGUUUAUUCAAUGGAAACAGGUUUAACAAAGCAGAGUUUUUACCAAUUAAGGUGGACAGCAAGACUUUCAUAUAAAGAUAUGCAGAAUGCUUCUAAAUUGAUGUGAUUCCUUCAUAUGUCUUUAUAAUGCCAAGCUUUGUGGCCCAAAUUAUUCUGACAUGUAAUGCCUUCAUAUAAUUAUGCUUUCCAUGUAAGAAGAGCACAUGAGUGUAGGAAGCAAGAAGCAAUGGUAAAAUGGUUAAAAUUAGUUCCAAUAUUUUGUUGACAUAUUUGGCUUUGUGAUUACUGCAAGUGGCAUAAAGCUGCUUGAAACAUUUUUUCAGGUAUAUAAAGAGAUGUACAUUGUCUGGAAAAAGAGGCCUUCUUGCUAAAUUAAUUUUUACUUGUGGUGUUAAAAGUAAGGCUGAAGUGUUUCUUGUUAAAUCCAUUUAAGAAUACUUUUGCUUCUAAAAUGCAGCUAUAGAUUUUUGUUAUUAACUCAUUCUGAAUUGAUACAUCAAAACAUUGAUAAGUUAAAGAAACUUUCAGCUCAACUUAAAGAAGAUAAUAAUCAAGGCUUAGGUGGCAUGUUUAGUUGGCUUAAUAUGUUUAGUAUAGUACCCUAGUUAAAGAAAGCAUUUAUAGUAAUAUUAAUGGGCCUGUUUGUAUUUUUUUGUAUUAUGCUUUGUAUUCUCUGUUUAUUAUCUUGUAUACAACACGUGGUUAAUUGCAGUUUUGUGGAAAGCCUCAAUCUCGCAGCUUGAAAACAAAAAGGGGGAGAUACUGGAGUAUGAAUUCUUUGUGACACAGAAAUCUUAGCCAGAAACCAUGGGAUUUAAACAAAGACAAGGAAAGUCUGUUUACAUCCACUCCCUGAAAUUCUUACAUUAUCUUUUAAUUAAGCAGACUUGUAGGCUUCAUAGGUAAAUCCCUUUAUCACUUUGUUUGCCCCAUCUGCCUUGUGAUUGUGAUAAAGAAAUAUCUGUUUAUCUGCUUGAAGAAAAAUAUCUCACUAUGUUUCCUGGACCUUUAACCCCAGCUAUGAAUGGAAUGUUUGUCCCUCUUUCCCAAAACCCUAUAUAUACCAAAGUUGUGAUGAAUAAAGCAUUCAAUUUUGUACACGCAA